CUUGGUUCUCAAACUGAGGGAAAUACUUACUGCUCCUGUGUUGCAUCACACUUUCCUCUUCAAGGGAAAAAACGACGCAAACUAGAGAAGUAACAAGAAGAAUUCCUAAGCGCCAGGGAAGGACUUUUGUUGCCGUAGCAGAAGAAUUUCGGGCGCCAUUGCCGGGGAGGAUCAAGUCAAGAAAUCAUCCAAGGAGGUGUCGCAAACUCAUCUCUUGCAUUUACUUUGUUUGCCAGUUGCCUCUCGUUUUCCUCACCCCCACUUCACUAUUUGCCUUUUUCGUUUGCCUUUUUUCGUUCUCCCUUUUCUUUCGCUUGCUUUCUGUUUGCUUGUGUGCUAUGUGCCUUCAAUAUGCUUGCAUCUUCGCUUGCUGAAAAUCUAGUGAUAUGGAUCCUCAUCCACUUGCUAAUCUCUUUAAGAGAUCCAAUUAUGU
rnacentral:lncRNA from 1 species